rnacentral:rRNA from 1 species
GAUGAACGCUAGCGGCAGGCUUAACACAUGCAAGUCGAGGGGCAGCAUAAUGGAUAGCAAUAUCUAUGGUGGCGACCGGCGCACGGGUGCGUAACGCGUAUGCAACCUACCUUUAACAGGGGGAUAACACUGAGAAAUUGGUACUAAUACCCCAUAAUAUCAUAGAAGGCAUCUUUUAUGGUUGAAAAUUCCGAUGGUUAGAGAUGGGCAUGCGUUGUAUUAGCUAGUUGGUGGGGUAACGGCUCACCAAGGCGACGAUACAUAGGGGGACUGAGAGGUUAACCCCCCACACUGGUACUGAGACACGGACCAGGCUCCUACGGGAGGCAGCAGAGAGGAAUAUUGGUCAAUGGACGCAAGUCUGAACCAGCCAUGCCGCGUGCAGGAUGACGGCUCUAUGAGUUGUAAACUGCUUUUGUACGAGGGUAAACGCAGAUACGUGUAUCUGUCUGAAAGUAUCGUACGAAUAAGGAUCGGCUAACUCCGUG